GAUGAACGCUGACAGAAUGCUUAACACAUGCAAGUCUACUUGAUUCUACUUCGGUAGUUGAUGGUGGCGGACGGGUGAGUAACGCGUAAAGAAUCUGCCCUUUAGUUUGGGAUAACCUUUGGAAACGAAGGCUAAUACCGGAUAUUAUGGAGACGUCGCAUGGCGACUCCAUGAAAGCUAUAUGCGCUAGAGGAGGACUUUGCGUCCCAUUAGUUAGUUGGUGAGGUAAUGGCUCACCAAGACCGCGAUGGGUAGCCGGCCUGGGAGGGUGAUCGGCCACAAGGGAACUGAGACACGGUCCUUACUCCUACGGGAGGCAGCAGUGGGGAAUAUUGGACAAUGGGCCACAAGCCUGAUCCAGCAAUUCUGUGUGCACGAUGAAGGUCUUCGGAUUGUAAAGUGCUUUCAGUAGGGAAGAAAAAAAUGACGGUACCUACAGAAGAAGCGACGGCUAAAUAUGUGCCAGCCGCCGCGGUAA
rnacentral:rRNA from 1 species